rnacentral:tRNA from 1 species
GCUGGGGUGCCCUAGUCUGGUAGGGGGCAGAUUGAACAAGCUUAGCCCAAGCCUGCUAGCCACCUAGGGUUGAAAGCCUGUGGGCCGUUGAAACAGUCUGCGGAAGCCCGCGUGGGUUCAAAUCCCACCCCCGGCG